rnacentral:rRNA from 1 species
AUGCGCCACGUGCUGCCGGCUGGCCGCGCCGUCGUCUCGCGCGGGGCGCGGGCGGCGGCGAUGGGGUCGUCGGCGGGGGCGGGGGCGGGGGACCCGGGCGGGAACCCGACGGUGGGGAGGCUGCGGGAGAUCUUCCGGGGCGGCGGCGACGCGGCAGAUGGCUGGGAGAAGUCCUGGGAGACUGGCGUAACCCCGUGGGAUCUGGGGAAGCCGACGCCUAUCAUCGAGCAUCUCGUUAAAUCAGGAACUCUCCCUAAAGGAAGAGCGUUGGUCCCGGGAUGCGGCAUGGGUUAUGAUGUGGUUGCUCUGGCAAGCCCUGAGAGAUUUGUCGUUGGCUUAGAGAUUUCUAAUAUAGCUGCUGAGAAGGCUAAGCAGUGGUCAUCAUCUUUGCCAAAUGCAGAUUGGUUUUCUUUUCUGAUUGCUGAUUUCUUCAAGUGGAGACCAAAUGAACCAUUUGACCUCAUUUUCGACUAUACGUUCUUUUGUGCACUUGAUCCAAGCAUGAGGCUGGCUUGGGCAGAGACAGUUAGUCGCCUUCUGAAACCAGAUGGAGAGCUUAUCACCUUGAUAUAUUUGAUCAGCGAUCAGGAAGGGGGGCCGCCCUACAAUAAUACAGUUGCUGACUAUCAGAAUGUGCUGGAGCCGCUGGGUUUCAAGGCUGUUUGGAUGGAAGACAACGAGCUGGCUAUUAAACCGCGCAAGGGUUUCGAGAAACUUGGAAGGUGGAAGAGAUGCGGCAGGCGGCAAUCUUCUUUGUGA